ACCCUAUUUAUCCAAUCACAGCUGCCCCUUAUUCACCCAAUCACAGCCUUUACAAAUCCACACUCAAUCUCCUCACAUUUCACAUAACAAAGUGCAGCAGCAGAUUCAACACCAUGCCUUUCGAACUGCAGCAACAAAUUGAUUCUAGCCAUCACAAAUCAACAACACAACAGAAUUAUUUCUAAAGGCUUUAUGAACCAAGGGGAUUAGCGCUGCUUUCCCAAGACGAGUUUAUGUGAUUAUGAUCUUCAGGCUUUGCCUAUCCAGGUUGGCUGGCUGGUGCUGACGGGACGGAGCUGAGGCUAGAGUUAAAAUUCAUAUGUUAGACUUCCGCUGUAGCAAUUACUCUUAUACAUCUUUUGUUUUCUCAACUUAAGAUGACUUCAUGUCGAGUUUAAAUUUGAAAUUCUAGUUUUACGCUAAUGAAUGUUGGUUGUCAGAAACAUGAAACAAAACUUGUGAUCCAAAGGGGCAUAGCCCGACUUUCUAUCCUAUUUCGGUUAUGACAAGGUUUUUCCCUUGUUUA